rnacentral:sRNA from 1 species
GCGGAGGAAAAGAAACCAACAGGGAUUGCCCCAGUAACGGCGAGUGAAGCGGCAACAGCUCAAAUUUGAAAUCUGGUCCCCCUGCGGGGCCCGAGUUGUAAUUUGAAGAGGAUGCUUUUGGCGAGGCGCCUUCCGAGUGCCCUGGAACGGGACGCCAUAGAGGGUGAGAGCCCCGUAUGGUUGGACGCCGAGCCUCUGUAAAGCUCCUUCGACGAGUCGAGUAGUUUGGGAAUGCUGCUCAAAAUGGGAGGUAAACCCCUUCUAAAGCUAAAUACUGGCCAGAGACCGAUAGCGCACAAGUAGAGUGAUCGAAAGAUGAAAAGCACUUUGAAAAGAGAGUUAAACAGCACGUGAAAUUGUUGAAAGGGAAGCGCUUGCGACCAGACUCGCGCCCGCCGGAUCAGCCGUCGCUCGUCGGCGGCGCACUCCGGCGGGUUCGGGCCAGCAUCGGUUCGCCUCGGGGGGAGAAAGGCGGCGGGAAUGUGGCUCUGCGGAGUGUUAUAGCCCGCCGUGCAAUACCCUCGGGCGGACCGAGGACCGCGCGUAUGCAAGGAUGCUGGCGUAAUGGUCGUCAGCGACCCGUCUUGAAACACGGACCAAGGAGUCGUCCUAGUAUGCGAGUGUUCGGGUGUCAAACCCCUGCGCGUAAUGAAAGUGAACGGAGGUGAGAGCUUCGGCGCAUCAUCGACCGAUCCUGAUGUUCUCGGAUGGAUUUGAGUAAGAGCAUACUGGGCCGGACCCGAAAGAAGGUGAACUAUGCCUGUAUAGGGUAAAGCCAGAGGAAACUCUGGUGGAGGCUCGCAGCGGUUCUGACGUGCAAAUCGAUCGUCAAAUAUGGGC